AUCCUUAUGCACGGGAAAUACGCAUAUCAGUGAGGAUUCGUCCGAGAUUGUGUUUUUGCUGGUUGAAAUUUAAUUAUAAACCAGACCGUCUCCUCAUGGUCAAUUCUGUGUUCGCUUUUGAACACUUCAGGACUAUGUAGGGAAUUUUUGGAAUACUUUUUUUUCGUUUACCGAUAUUCAUUCUUUCAAAGAAACUUUUCAUCUUUCUUUGGAAGU
rnacentral:snRNA from 23 species